rnacentral:rRNA from 1 species
GUCCUUUUGAUUUUUAUAUAAGGUCUGACCUGCCCUAUGAAUAUUUAAAUGGCCGCGGUAUAUUAACCGUGCAAAGGUAGCAUAGUCAUUUGUCUCUUAAUUGGAGGCUUGAAUGAAGGGUUGGACGAGAUAUAAGCUUUCUUUGUUAUAUUUUAUUGAAUUUGACUUUUGAGUUAAAAGGCUUAAAUUUUUUUAUAGGACGAGAAGACCCUAUAGAAUUUUAUAUGUUUGUAUAAUUAAUUUAUUUAUUUAUUAUUUAAUUUCUUGUUUAAAUAUAUUUUGUUGGGGCGAUGGGAAGAUUUUAAUAACUCUUUUUUGUUUUGAUCAUUGAUUUAUGUUUUAUUCUGAUCCUUUUUUAGAGAUUAUAAGAUUAAAUUACCUUAGGGAUAACAGCGUAAUUCUUUUGGAGAGUUCUUAUCGAUAAAAGAGUUUGCGA